rnacentral:rRNA from 1 species
UAAUACGAAGGGGGCUAGCGUUGCUCGGAAUGACUGGGCGUAAAGGGCGCGUAGGCGGUUUGGUUUGUUAGGUGUGAAAUUCCUGGGCUUAACCUGGGGGCUGCACUUAAGACGGCCAGGCUUGAGUGUGAAAGAGGGUCGUGGAAUUCCCAGUGUAGAGGUGAAAUUCGUAGAUAUUGGGAAGAACACCGGUGGCGAAGGCGGCGACCUGGUUCAUUACUGACGCUGAGGCGCGAAAGCGUGGGGAGCAAACAGGAUUAGAUACCCUGGUAGUCCACGCUGUAAACGAUGUGUGCUGGAUGUUGGGUGACCUAGUCACUCAGUGUCGUAGCUAACGCGAUAAGCACACCGCCUGGGGAGUACGGCCGCAAGGUUG